rnacentral:rRNA from 1 species
UACAGAGGUCCCGAGCGUUGUUCGGAUUUAUUGGGCGUAAAGGGUGCGUAGGCGGCGGAGUAAGUUGGGUGUGAAAUCCCGGGGCUCAACCUCGGAAUGGCAUUCAAUACUGCUUCGCUAGAGUACUGGAGAGGAGGCUGGAAUUUACGGUGUAGCAGUGAAAUGCGUAGAUAUCGUAAGGAAGGCCGGUGGCGAAAGCGGGUCUCUGGACAGUUCCUGACACUGAGGCACGAAGGCCAGGGGAGCAAACGGG